rnacentral:rRNA from 1 species
UACGUAGGUGACCAGCGUUGUCCGUAUUUACUGGGCGUAAAGAGCGCGCAGGCGGUCGUUCAAGUCGAGUGUGAAAGCCCCCGGCUCAACUGGGGAGGGUCAUUCGAUACUGAUCGACUCGAAGGCAGGAGAGGGAAGCGGAAUUCCCGGUGUAGUGGUGAAAUUCGUAGAUAUUGGGAAGAACACCGGUGGCGAAGGCGGCGACCUGGUCCAUUACUGACGCUGAGGCGCGACAGCGUGGGGAGCAAACAGG